rnacentral:rRNA from 1 species
UGUAGUCAUAUGCUUGUCUCAAAGAUUAAGCCAUGCAUGUCUAAGUAUAAGCAAAUUAUAAAGUGAAACUGCGAAUGGCUCAUUAAAUCAGUUAUCGUUUAUUUGAUGAUCUCUUACUACAUGGAUAACCGUGGUAAUUCUAGAGCUAAUACAUGCGUAAAAGUCCCGACCUCUGGAAGGGAUGUAUUUAUUAGAUAAAAAACCAAUGCCUUCGGGCUUCUUGGUGAUUCAUAGUAACUUAACGAAUCGCAUAGCCUUGUGCUGGCGAUAGUUCAUUCAAAUUUCUGCCCUAUCAACUUUCGAUGGUAGGAUACAGGCCUACCAUGGUUUCAACGGGUAACGGGGA